AGAACGAACGCUGGCGGCAUGCCUAACACAUGCAAGUCGAACGAAACCAAGGCUUCGGCCUGAAGUUUAGUGGCGCACGGGUGCGUAACGCGUGGGAAUCUGCCCUUGGGUUCGGAAUAACUCAGAGAAAUUUGAGCUAAUACCGGAUGAUGACGAAAGUCCAAAGAUUUAUCGCCCAAGGAUGAGCCCGCGUAAGAUUAGCUUGUUGGUGAGGUAAAGGCUCACCAAGGCGACGAUCUUUAGCUGGUCUGAGAGGAUGAUCAGCCACACUGGGACUGAGACACGGCCCAGACUCCUACGGGAGGCAGCAGUGGGGAAUAUUGGACAAUGGGCGAAAGCCUGAUCCAGCAAUGCCGCGUGAGUGAUGAAGGCCUUAGGGUUGUAAAGCUCUUUUACCAGGGAUGAUAAUGACAGUACCUGGAGAAUAAGCUCCGGCUAACUCCGUG
rnacentral:rRNA from 1 species